rnacentral:rRNA from 1 species
AGGAAUAUUGGUCAAUGGGCGAGAGCCUGAACCAGCCAAGUAGCGUGCAGGAUGACGGCCCUAUGGGUUGUAAACUGCUUUUAUAAGGGAAUAAAGUGAGCCUCGUGAGACUUUUUGCAUGUACCUUAUGAAUAAGGACCGGCUAAUUCCGUGCCAGCAGCCGCGGUAAUACGGAAGGUCCGGGCGUUAUCCGGAUUUAUUGGGUUUAAAGGGAGCGUAGGCCGGAGAUUAAGCGUGUUGUGAAAUGUAGACGCUCAACGUCUGCACUGCAGCGCGAACUGGUUUCCUUGAGUACGCACAAAGUGGGCGGAAUUCGUGGUGUAGCGGUGAAAUGCUUAGAUAUCACGAAGAACUCCGAUUGCGAAGGCAGCUCACUGGAGCGCAACUGACGCUGAAGCUCGAAAGUGCGGGUAUCGAACAGGAUUAGAUACCCUGGUAGUCCGCACGGUAAACGAUGGAUGCCCGCUGUUGGUCUGAACAGGUCAGCGGCCAAGCGAAAGCAUUAAGCAUCCCACCUGGGGAGUACGCCGGCAACGGUGAAACUCAAAGGAAUUGACGGGGGCCCGCACAAGCGGAGGAACAUGUGGUUUAAUUCGAUGAUACGCGAGGAACCUUACCCGGGCUUGAAUUGCAGAGGAAGGAUUUGGAGACAAUGACGCCCUUCGGGGUCUCUGUGAAGGUGCUGCAUGGUUGUCGUCAGCUCGUGCCGUGAGGUGUCGACUUAAGUGCCAUAACGAGCGCAACCCCUCUCCUUAGUUGCCAUCAGGUCAAGCUGGGCACUCUGGGGACACUGCCACCGUAAGGUGUGAGGAAGGUGGGGAUGACGUCAAAUCAGCACGGCCCUUACGUCCGGGGCUACACACGUGUUACAAUGGCAGGUACAGAGAGACGGUCCCUUGCAAAAUGGAUCAAAUCCUUAAAGCCUGUCUCAGUUCGGACUGGGGUCUGCAACCCGACCCCACGAAGCUGGAUUCGCUAGUAAUCGCGCAUCAGCCAUGGCGCGGUGAAUACGUUCCCG